rnacentral:rRNA from 1 species
AGAGUUUGAUCCUGGCUCAGAACGAACGCUGGCGGCGCGUCUUAACCAUGCAAGUCGAGCGGCAGGCAGCAAUGCCGAGAGCGGCGGACUGGUGAGUAACACGUGGAUAACGUACCCCGAUGUCCGGGACAGCCUGUAGAAAUAGAGGGUAAUACCGGAUAGAUCACUGUUUACGGAAGGUAGACAGCGGGAAAGGAGCUUCGGCUCCGCGCCGGGAACGGUCUGCGGCCCAUCAGCUGGACGGCGGGGUAACGGCCCGCCGUGGCGAGGACGGGUAUCCGGCCUGAGAGGGCGGACGGACACAUUGGGACUGAGAUACGGCCCAGACUCCUACGGGAGGCAGCAGGUAAGAAUAUUCCGCAAUGGGGGGAACCCUGACGGAGCGACGCCGCGUGAACGAAGAAGGCCGGAAGGUUGUAAAGUUCUUUUCUGUCCGAGGAAUAAGUGUAGGAGGAAAUGCCUGCAUGGUGACGGUAGGGCAGGAAUAAGCACCGGCUAAUUACGUGCCAGCAGCCGCGGUAACACGUAAGGUGCGAGCGUUGUUCGGAAUUAUUGGGCGUAAAGGGCAUGCAGGCGGGUCGCCAAGCUUGGUAAGAAAUACCGGGGCUCAACUCCGGAGCUAUAUUGAGAACUGGCGAGCUAGAGUUGCCGAAGGGUAUCCGGAAUUCCGCGUGAAGGGGUGAAAUCUGUAGAUAUGCGGAAGAACACCGAUGGCGAAGGCAGGAUACCGGCGGACGACUGACGCUGAGGUGCGAAGGUGCGGGGAGCAAACAGGAUUAGAUACCCUGGUAGUCCGCACAGUCAACGAUGUACACUGGGCGUGUGCGCAAGAGCGUGCGUGCCGAAGCAAACGCGAUAAGUGUACCGCCUGGGGAGUAUGCCCGCAAGGGUGAAAC